ACAACAUUAGGACCGUCGGUCUACCGAGAAAUUUCACCCUCUCGAUCUUCCCUUUGUCAU
rnacentral:pre_miRNA from 1 species